rnacentral:rRNA from 1 species
UGCAAGUCGAACGAUGAAGCCUUUCGGGGUGGAUUAGUGGCGAACGGGUGAGUAACAAGUGGGCAAUCUGCCCUUCACUCUGGGACAAGCCCUGGAAACGGGGUCUAAUACCGGAUAACACUCUGUCCCGCAUGGGACGGGGUUAAAAGCUCCGGCGGUGAAGGAUGAGCCCGCGGCCUAUCAGCUUGUUGGUGGGGUAAUGGCCUACCAAGGCGACGACGGGUAGCCGGCCUGAGAGGGCGACCGGCCACACUGGGACUGAGACACGGCCCAGACUCCUACGGGAGGCAGCAGUGGGGAAUAUUGCACAAUGGGCGAAAGCCUGAUGCAGCGACGCCGCGUGAGGGAUGACGGCCUUCGGGUUGUAAACCUCUUUCAGCAGGGAAGAAGCGAAAGUGACGGUACCUGCAGAAGAAGCGCCGGCUAACUACGUGCCAGCAGCCGCGGUAAUACGUAGGGCGCAAGCGUUGUCCGGAAUUAUUGGGCGUAAAGAGCUCGUAGGCGGCUUGUCACGUCGGAUGUGAAAGCCCGGGGCUUAACCCCGGGUCUGCAUUCGAUACGGGCUAGCUAGAGUGUGGUAGGGGAGAUCGGAAUUCCUGGUGUAGCGGUGAAAUGCGCAGAUAUCAGGAGGAACACCGGUGGCGAAGGCGGAUCUCUGGGCCAUUACUGACGCUGAGGAGCGAAAGCGU